AUGUUGUACAAUGUAAAAAAUAUAUAUAUAUUUAUUUUUUAAUGCAUGUUCAAGAUCAUAUUCAGCAUUUAUUUUGAUUAUUUAAUAGUUGCAGUGGACUGUGCAUGAGACGAUUCCCCACAGCGCCGGCGUAUAUAGUGAGCUUGUGAAAAUGGAAUCCCAAUACUCACAAGAAGGACAAUAGCAGUAUGAAAAUUAACACAAAGAAAUUGUGCCAGAAAAGUUUGGAGUAUCUGUGGAAAUGAUCUGACAACAUGGAACUUGCUGAGCCUUCCUUCUUAAAGUGACAUGACCAG